UGGGGUAUAGCCAAGCGGUAAGGCAGCGGGUUUUGAUCCCGCCAUUCCCAGGUUCGAAUCCUGGUACCCCAG
rfam:Idiomarinaceae bacterium HL-53 ITZY_scaf_0, whole genome shotgun sequence.